rnacentral:lncRNA from 1 species
UCUCUUUGUUUCAUAUAUGAGAAAACUGGCUCAGAGAGAUUUUGUAGCUCCAAGGUCACAAGGAGUAUAAGGGAUGGAGCAAAGUUUCAGACUCUGAUUCACCUGUUCUAAAGCUUGCAUUUCUUUUAUUAUGUUAUGCUAUAGGGGCUCUGAGGAGGUCAUAUGAGACAAUGGAUGUGAAAGCCACCUAACACUUCCUGGUACAUUAAACACCCAGUAAAAGUUAGCUCUGCAAGUGCUUGGCAAAUUGUAGAGAAAUGUUUGUUAUUAUUGUCAGUACCUUGUUCUGAUGCUGGCAGAGGAGCGUGUUCUUAAUGGGAGGAUGUGCCCUGUAGGAGGCUGAGCUAUUAAUAGCCAAUAGUGAUGUUUACUGCACUUCCUUAUGAGACUUUAGUUCAGAAAGUUCUGAACUAGAAAAAACUUCUCUAAAUUGCUUAAUCACAAAAUGAUGAGACCACAUUCCUCCUGAAUUAUCUCCUAAAGACAUGACUUCUGUGGCGAUCAAGGAGCUGGACAGGCAAAUUGCUUUUUGAAAUAUUUGUUUUUGAUUGAGAAAAUAAACAACUAUAUAAAGGACACUGCGACAAACAUCAUGUACUCACCACCUAAGGUUCCUUUGUGAGAGGAAUACACUGACUUUGGAGUUGCCCAAGUGGCUUGCUAUCACAUACAAAGAGGAGAGAAGCCAUGGUAUGUGAGGUCCAAGAAAAUGCCUUCAGCCAUCUUGCACUUCUGCUCUCCACAAUGAGAAGAUUGUGCCUGUGGUAGGCAUUGUUUUUCCCGAAUCCUGGAUACAGAGACUCAUGGAGUAGAUUGGAACCCAAACUGUAAACUGGCGUGAAGAGCAACUCAAUUGGCCAGGUAUAGAAAUGGAUCACCACUCAGCCCUGUGCAUUGGAAAAACUGGUGGUGCAUUGACAAAGAAUUAUGUUACAGUUUAAGAAGAACUCCAAUAAAAAGAAAAUUGAAAAAAAAAAAAAAGAAGGACCCUUUUGGUUUCUUUAGAAUCAGAUCUGGACCUCCAGCUAAGUCAGGGAUAGAAGGAAUUUUAGAGGAUACCAAACAAAUCCAAACUCUGAUGGAACCAUCUCAACACCGAGGAAAGGCAUUGCCCCUUCAGCCUAGAAAGAGGGCAAGUUCAAAUUGUGAUUUAUGCAGUUGGUCACGGAGAACGAUGGCUCAUCACUUUGCUAUCACCAUUAAUGGUGGCUGAUGCUGACUUCCUCCCUUACCUUUUGAUCUACUCCUCUCUCUAUGUAUGUAUCUUUGCAAACCCUGAAAUAAAUGAAUUCCUAAGGAAAACGGGCA